rnacentral:rRNA from 1 species
GAUGAACGCUGGCGGCGUGCCUAAUACAUGCAAGUCGAGCGAACAGACGAGGAGCUUGCUCCUCUGACGUUAGCGGCGGACGGGUGAGUAACACGUGGAUAACCUACCUAUAAGACUGGGAUAACUUCGGGAAACCGGAGCUAAUACCGGAUAAUAUAUUGAACCGCAUGGUUCAAUAGUGAAAGACGGUUUUGCUGCCACUUAUAGAUGGAUCCGCGCCGCAUUAGCUAGUUGGUAAGGUAACGGCUUACCAAGGCAACGAUGCGUAGCCGACCUGAGAGGGUGAUCGGCCACACUGGAACUGAGACACGGUCCAGACUCCUACGGGAGGCAGCAGUAGGGAAUCUUCCGCAAUGGGCGAAAGCCUGACGGAGCAACGCCGCGUGGGUGAUGAAGGUCUUCGGAUCGUAAAACUCUGUUAUUAGGGAAGAACAAAUGUGUAAGUAACUAUGCACGUCUUGACGGUACCUAAUCAGAAAGCCACGGCUAACUACGUG